ensembl:lncRNA
CACUUCAAUCAGUGAAGGGGAGGAGACCGGUUAAUGUCCACCACCCAAAGGACAUCCAGCUAACUUGACACAACUGUGGGAAGCAUCGGUGUCCAUUUAGAGUUAAUGCCCCAACGAAUUUAGCCUGUUCUGAGGGCAAAAGGGGGGGGUGCAACUCAAUAUUAGGAAAGCAUUCUUAGUGUUUUGUAAGCUCAGUGUAUAGGGAAGAAUCUCACGCAAUCUAUUCUGGGAGAAGGGAUUCCAGUCCACAGACUAACUCCUUUCAAAAUUCUGUUUUGCCCAAUAGGAAGUGAAUGGUGAAUAAUGUAGUGUGGCCUUUCGGAGUCACAUUUAUUGCCUACCCCGGUGAUGCUGGGCCAAUUGUGCGCAGCCCUAUGGGACUCCCGAUCAUGGCCGGAUGUGAUACAACCUUGAAUCGAACCGGGGACUGUAGUGAUGCCUCGUGCACUGAGAUGUAGUGCCUUAGAUUGCUGUGCCACCCGGGAGCCCUAGACAUUUAAGUGCCUUCAGAAAUGAUUCACACCUGUUGACUUUUUCCACAUUUUGUUUUGUUACAGCCUGGCCAACACACAAUAGCCCAUAAUGUUACAGUGAAAUUAUUUUUUUCUAAUGUUCUACAAAUUAAUUAAAAAUGAAAAGCUGAAAUGUCUUGAGUCAAUAAGUAUUCAACCACUUUGUUAUGGCAAGCCUAAAUAAGUUCAGGAGUAAAACUUUGCCUAACAAGAGUCACAUAUGUUGAAUGGACUCACUCUGUGUGCAAUAAUAGUGAAUACAAAGGUUUAUGUUUGGGGCAAAUCCAAUAGAACACAUUACUGAGUACCACUCUUCAUAUUUUCAACCAUACUGGUGGCUGCAUCAUGUUAUGGGUAUGCUUACUCCGGGUUAACUUGAUGGUAAAGCUAAAGCUCCUACAUAUUUCUGUACUGAAAAAAAU